rnacentral:rRNA from 1 species
CCUACGGGGGGCUGCAGUAGGGAAUCUUCCACAAUGGACGAAAGUCUGAUGGAGCAACGCCGCGUGAGUGAAGAAGGGUUUCGGCUCGUAAAGCUCUGUUGGUAGUGAAGAAAGAUAGAGGUAGUAACUGGCCUUUAUUUGACGGUAAUUACUUAGAAAGUCACGGCUCACUACGUGCCAGCAGCCGAGGUAAUACGUAGGUGGCAAGCGUUGUCCGGAUUUAUUGGGCGUAAAGCGAGUGCAGGCGGUUAAAUAAGUCUGAUGUGAAAACCUGCGGCUCAACCGGAGAAUUGCAUCAGAAACUGGUGGACUUGAGUGCAGAAGAGGAGAGUGGAACGCCAGGUGUAGCGGUGGAAUGCGUAGAUAUAUGGAAGAACACCAGUGGCGAAGGCAGCUCUCUGGUCUGCAACUGACGCUGAGGCUCGAAAGCAUGGGUAGCGAACAGGAUUAGAUACCCCAGUAGUC